rnacentral:misc_RNA from 1 species
GCGAUUGAUUGAAUAAAAUAAGACGUGUUGGUCAGCGCGACAAUGGCUGGUCAGCGUCAAGGAUUAUUGAUUAUGCAAAGUGCCCGCUGCCCUGGACAAUGCCGAGAAAACAAAGGCUUAAGCAAAGAGAGCGGAAGGAUUCUGAAGGAGUCUCAGGCUGCACGAAAGGGUUGCUCGGCAGGACAGCGGUCAGUGGAAAUCAUGAAAAGUCUGUGCCGGAAUCUGAUGAGCCGGGAGCGAGAAAGUAUCCCCUUACAGGACACAGGACUCUAGACACAGCGCGUGUGUUUUCGCCUAUUAGAGAGAUAAUAGUUUCUGUCAUACCUCGGCUGUUUCUCCGCUGUUAAUGGUCAGUUUCGCUAUUUUUCCAUGGUUAAUUAAUAUCCAGCGCUGUCCGAGUUCGAGUCCGAGUGUGAGAAAGUGCCACUCCCCCCGUAGGCUGUACGGCAAAAGGUGAGACCUCAGGAGGUUAGAAGGCCAAGUUGCUGACGGAUGCUGAUGGAUUAGGUCGAUAAUUAAUGGAGUAUCCUAUUUUCUGUAACUGUAUCUGGUUUUGAAAUUACCCAAACUGACCAGAUAAUCGAUGGUCAACGAAAGGGUCGUACCUUUCCAUCAAGCGAAAGUAAUGCAGAACUGAAUCUCUUACAACCAGAAAUCAGAAAAUACUGCUAUAGCUAUGGUUUGAU